rnacentral:rRNA from 1 species
CCUACGGGAGGCAGCAGUGAGGAAUAUUGGUCAAUGGACGAGAGUCUGAACCAGCCAAGUAGCGUGAAGGAUGACUGCCUAUGGGUUUUAAACUUCUUUUAUUUGGGAAUUAAAUGUUCCACGUGUGGGAUUUUGUAUGUACCAUAUUAAUUAGGAUCGGCUAACUCCGUGUCAGCAGCCGCGGUAAUACGGAGGAUCCGAGCGUUAUCCGGAUUUUUUGGGUUUAAAGGGAGCGUAGGUGGAUUGUUAAGUCAGUUGUGAAAGUUUGCGGCUCAACCGUAAAAUUGCAGUUGAAACUGGCAGUCUUGAGUACAGUAGAGGUGGGCGGAAUUCGUGGUGUAGCGGUGAAAUGCUUAGAUAUCACGAAGAACUCCGAUUGCGAAGGCAGCUCACUGGACUGCAACUGACACUGAGGCUCGAAAGUGUGGGUAUCAAACAGGAUUAGAUACCCGAGUAGUC